rnacentral:lncRNA from 1 species
UUUAAACACUAAUGGGAAAGUCAGAAGAUGGACCAGUGAAGAGUCAGUAAGAUCCCUGAAAGAAGUAAAUGGGUGCAGAUCCAUCCUCGGGCUAGAAAUAGAGAAACUGAAACUGAAUCGCAUUCAUCAGGGAAAGGUUGGUAUUAAAGGCUGUUACUGUGCCAUGAUCCGGAAAUCCAGGGCUUGUAACUAAUUGUAAUAUGUUCAUGAACUAACGGUUCUUUGGAAUUAUCUGGGGACACAUUUUUAAUACCUCAUUUUAUCUACACAAGAUGAAAAUUCAUGUUUUUUCCUUUUGUACCAAAUUUAGUUGCCUGGUGGCCUUGCGUGUCAGCCAACAAUGGUAUAUUUAUGAAUCCAAGCUAUUUCUGGAGGAAAAUCAUGUAUUGGAUAAAACAGUUUUUUGGCUUUCAUCUUGUUGCAUAGAAAUCACUGCUCCUAUUCCUCUUUGCCUCAAAGGAGUGAUGGCCAGAAGCUGCCGUCUUUGAUUUCCUUAGCUCCAAACGUGGGAGUACCACUGUUUCAGAAGAGUGUGAACCAACUGCAACGAGGAGGCUGGGAUUUUCAUUUCCAACACUUGAACUUCUGAAGCAGAGGGGCAGGGGUAACAAACCAUUCUGGACUAGACUUGCUUACCCCCUCCCUUUUUUUUUUUACACAGACCUUUAGUCCAGACAGUCAUUGCCUAGACUAUACAGAUUAUAUUGUUUAUAUGAAUGGAUAAAUACUAACACUUAGAAGAUAAAAUUAUAGCUCAGUUGUUACUUUCUAAAAACUGAAUCCAGAAGCGGUGUGGUAUGUAUGGAUUUUAUACAAAACACCUCCCAAAUGCUUUAAUUCUAGUUAAGGCAGAAGAGUGAUUCUGAAAUGUUUCUUGGUGAUUCUGAUCUUUCAUUGUUUCCUCAAUCUAUAAGUCUCUGUCCUCCUUGACUGUCCUUCAGAUUGUGAUGGAAAUCAAGACUUGCGCCGUUUGCUGUGGAUAAGGAAUUAGUUCCCCUUUGUCUCUGGACACUUUGUGACAGAUGGGUAGAAAAUGUCCAAGUUUUCC